rnacentral:rRNA from 1 species
GAGUUUGAUCAUGGCUCAGAUUGAACGCUGGCGGCAUGCCUUACACAUGCAAGUCGAACGGCAGCACGGGAGCUUGCUCCUGGUGGCGAGUGGCGAACGGGUGAGUAAUGCAUCGGAACGUAUCCUGGAGUGGGGGAUAACGUAGCGAAAGUUACGCUAAUACCGCAUAUUCUGUGAGCAGGAAAGCGGGGGACCUUCGGGCCUCGCGCUCUUGGAGCGGCCGAUGUCGGAUUAGCUAGUUGGUGAGGUAAAGGCUUACCAAGGCGACGAUCCGUAGCAGGUCUGAGAGGAUGAUCUGCCACACUGGAACUGAGACACGGUCCAGACUCCUACGGGAGGCAGCAGUGGGAAUUUUGGACAAUGGGGGCAACCCUGAUCCAGCCAUGCCGCGUGAGUGAAGAAGGCCUCGGUUGUAAGUACGUACUUCGUCGACGGAAGG